rnacentral:rRNA from 1 species
GAAGAUUUGGAUUGAUCUAAACCAUGCUAGUCAUUGUAGUAAUACAAGGCAGACGGAUCAGUAACGCCUCCUUUCCAAACCUAUGGACGGGAAUAACCUCGGCAAACUGACUAUAAUGACCGAUAGAACAUUAUGCCUGGAAUGGUUUAUGUUCCAAAUGAUUUAUCGCCGCAGGAUGAUACUGCUGCCUAUCAUUUUGUUGACGAGGGAAUGACCCCCCACCACGACUAUAAGCGCUGCGUCUUAGAAGAGUAAGACCCCAGAGACUACUGCAGAGACAAGACACCGCCUCUGGGGCGCAUCAUAUCAGAAAACUUUGCUGUGUGCGAAAGGGCGACUAGGAUAAUACCAGUGGUUUCUGAUAAAGGAACCUUUUGCUUUGCCUAGAAACACCGAUGAAUCAGGGGUGAUCUGGUUUCCGGUGUCUUCCGCCGCCGUCAAUACAGCAGCUCAACCGCCUGAUGAUGAUUAAUUAUGCUAAAAGAUCCGGAGGCUGAUCCGUUAGUUUUCCGUUAAAUUUGCACGCUCCACAUAGCGGGUGCCUUUAAUUUUGCUCAGUUGAUUUGUGGCAGAGGUAGACGGUUCUCCGUACGAAGGUGCAAAAUCCUUUGCUCUUUUGAUGACCCACUGUGGGGUAGGCGGGCUCCCCACACACUCCGACGGGGAGGGAUGAAUGCUGGGGGAGCGAACCGUCGUACAUAACCUGGGGGUUCCGACUUUAAACUAUGCAAACCCCCGUGAUGCAUGAGUUGUGCCUCGUGUCAUGCUGCAAGAAAGCCGC